rnacentral:rRNA from 2 species
UGGGGAAUCUUGGACAAUGGGGGCAACCCUGAUCCAGCGACGCCGCGUGACCGAGGAAGGCCCUCGGGUCGUAAAGGUCUUUCAGCGGGGACUAUGGUGAAGCUACCCGCAGAAGCAGGAGCGGCUAACUACGUGCCAGCAGCCGCGGUAAUACGUAGGCUCCAAGCGUUGUUCGGAAUCACUGGGCGUAAAGCGAGCGCAGGCGGCGCGCCGUGUCGGACGUGAAAUCUCCCGGCUCAACCGGGAGGGUGCGUUCGAAACUGGCGUGCUGGAGUGCGGCAGGGGAAGGCAGAAUUCCUGGUGUAGCGGUGGAAUGCGUAGAGAUCAGGAGGAAUGCCGGAGGUGAAGACGGCCUUCCGGGCCGCCACUGACGCUGAGGCUCGAAAGCGUGGGGAGCGAACAGG